AAACCCCUCCUUUUUCUGAUGUCAUCACUGAGCUUUGUGCACGAUGCAAGGUGUUUUGCCCGGACUUGUCCACCAUUAGAGGCACACGACACAGAAGAAUUUUAGCGGCUACAUUGUGAAAAUUACAAGUGUUUGAUAAGAAGCAGCACACACGGAGAGAUCAUCCACUGCUCUUCUGCCUCUAAAGACAGCCAGUAAAGGCUUCCCACCUGACCUCCUGCAUGACCUGUUUGAAGGUGUCAUUCCAGUGGAGUUGGCGCAUUGCUUAAAAGUGUCUGACUAAAGAAGCAGAACUGAAACAUCAGCAGAUCUCCCCAGCCUUCCGCCAAUGUAAAGAAACUACAACCUCAGAUGGAGCCAACAGAGAGAUUGAAGCUAAGGGUCAUCCUUGAUGCUGAUAAUGCUGAAAGACUAAUUUUACCAUCUUGCCCAAGCAGUGUACAAGCCCUCAUAGUUGAGAUCAGAACUAGGCUAAAGUUGACUUUUGACUUUCGGCUUCAGUUUCACGACCCAGAUUUUGAUAAUGCAUUGUGUAAUUUGGUUGAAAUAGAACACCUGCCAAGCACAGCAUCUGUCAGAGUUGUCAGAUUAGUUGAGCUGGACCAGAUUUCAACCAGCACUGAUGACACAAUCAUUCUGACUGAUAGUACUGAUAGCACAGAUACACCAGAGCGUAUUAGUCGGUGGCCAGAGGUUUUUAUUGUUCCAACAUUUUCUUAUGAGAUGGAACAUGUGCUAAGGGAAGGUAAUGCAGCAUAUUAAAAAGAUGGG